AAAAGAAGUACAAGAAAAGCUAUGAAAAGAGCUUACAUACUGUUGUGUUUACUGGUUUUAUUGAUUUGGUCAAAAUGGAGCGAUACAAGCAAAUGAAGGAAAGACCGACGAAAUCAUUAUUGGAAAAUACGUACAAAGAGGAAGUAAAUAAAAAGGUAUAUUGUGGAAGAGAAAAUGGAUUAUGGCAUUGGUGUGAAGAUAACCGAAGAUGCUGUGUUGUUUACCAUCAUAACAAGUUUUCGCAUUACAAUUGUUGCCCCAGGAGAGAUACAUGUUGCCAUGGCGGGAUGUGCUGUCGCCCUUGAAAUGAAUGUGUUUACUCCGUCUUUAUUUAUGUUACAUUACAGGGAAUUCAAUACAUGCAUGAAUAAAAUAUUUAAAGAAAAGAUAACGAAAGACAUUUGUGUUACUUUGUUGCUGAUUUUCUCUCUUAGCUAUGUCAUUUAACCCAAAGAAAACAAAUGAAAUUCAUUUGGAAUGACAAAUGAAAAAAAUUAUUGCUUGAUUUCAAAGAGUUUUCUUUACCAAUCUUAGUGGUUAUUUGGUGUCUCUUGCUUUUUCUGGAUCACAGAUUUGAUGCUUCGUGCAUUUACUUAGCAACAUUUUUUUCUCUUAGAAGUUCAAUGAACGCUUUAUGAAAUUAGACUAUCGUUUGGUGAUUUUUCUUUAGAAAUUAAAAUAUUUAAACAUGUAUUUUUAAAAAAGUAACUAUAGUGAAAGCCAGUCAUUUAUUGCAUCACGAGGUCUCAUAUAUUUACAACUAAAAAUUGAAAGAUUUGGCCACAAAAUCCUAGUUUAAAGAGGAUUUCUAUUUAUCUUCAAAUUGUAAAAAUAGACCACCGUGAUCCUUCAUAAUAACCUCAUACUCAUGAAAACAAAAUUAAAAACUUGUCUACUCUA